rnacentral:rRNA from 1 species
AAUAGAUACCCGGGUAGUCCACGCCGUAAACGGUGGGCACUAGGUGUGGGCAGCAUUCCACGUUGUCCGUGCCGUAGCUAACGCAUUAAGUGCCCCGCCUGGGGAGUACGGCCGCAAGGCUAAAACUCAAAGGAAUUGACGGGGGGCCCGCACAAGCGGCGGAGCAUGUGGCUUAAUUCGACGCAACGCGAAGAACCUUACCAAGGCUUGACAUACACCGGAAACAUCCAGAGAUGGGUGCCCCCUUGUGGUCGGUGUACAGGUGGUGCAUGGCUGUCGUCAGCUCGUGUCGUGAGAUGUUGGGUUAAGUCCCGCAACGAGCGCAACCCUUGUCCCGUGUUGCCAGCAGGCCCUUGUGGUGCUGGGGACUCACGGAAGACCGCCGGGGUCAACUCGGAGGAAGGUGGGGACGACGUCAAGUCAUCAUGCCCCUUAUGUCUUGGGCUGCACACGUGCUACAAUGGCCGGUACAAAGAGCUGCGAUACCGUGAGGUGGAGCGAAUCUCAAAAAGCCGGUCUCAGUUCGGAUUGGGGU